rnacentral:lncRNA from 1 species
GAAGCAGGCUAUUGUCAUUCGCAGGUUCCCUGCAAGAGUUCGAGGAGACAGGACGUGCGGCACACCUCCCAGCCAGGAGCCGUCCCUCCAUCACGCAGGGAACGCACAUUCAGUGGGUUUCUGAGCCGGAACCACUGUCUCCUCCGGACUGCAGACUUCGCCUGUAAUGUCUCUGCUAACCUCAGAGCCAAGUUAGAGGCAAAACAAUAUUUGACUCACCCACCUUCUUCCUGAUUGGCCCAGGGGACUUGCAAACUCAAACCCAAACCCAAUCCCAGACCCAGACCCAGAGAGAGUGCUCAGUCGUCAGCUAAUCGGCUUCACUGAUUCAACUGGCCAAUCGGCCAACUGUUUCCCGCUUGGAUUCCAACGCCAGGCAAGACUGCACUGCGGGCGUGGGCGGAACUUCAAUAGACAAGGACACAUCAGGCAGACAAACAUGUUAGGAAGACUGGCGCUGGAGGUGGAACCCUGCUCCCUGGGAAACACGCCCACCUGGCGUGGGAGGCGGAAGCGCAUCUACCCUGCAGCAGAGCCAGCCGCCUUGGGCAAGGGGAAAGGAAGUAGUGCGUUGCCAGGGAGCGUUUCUUCUCCACGUCCAAGCCCUGUCUCAGGGUGUCACCUCCUCGUCUCCCUCCCCCCAGACAAAAACAGAUACGAUAAUGGAGCAGAGGAGGGUUGGCAAAUAGACGACAGGGCGGAGUGCUCACACAUCCUUCCUUCUUUCCUUUCAUUUGCUCGUCAGCGAGUGAGCAUUCGUUAAUUUGGAAGGUGGGAAGUGGUGCUGCAUUGUUUACAGCCUGUUCUUGGAGGUAAUACGACCUCUCCAGCGAGUAACUCCCAUCUCUGUCACACCAUCUGUUUUGUCAUCGUCAACAGCUCCACUGUGCUUGUGGAGCGCUUUACGGGGAUGCCAAGGCCCAAGAGUGUUCUGCGUGCUUCUAAUUAUGAGGACAGAGCAAUCGCCACCUGGUCCCAGGGAAGGAGACACAGGCGAGGCCUCCUCCCUCAUCAGCUAAGUGCCAGUAGCAGCUCCCCCAAUCUGGACCCUCUGCUAUUUCCCCUCCGUUCUGCGCUGAGUCCCUGGGCUCUGCCUGGGAUGGAGAGAAGCCUAAAGCUCUUCCAGAACAGCACCAAUCUGCCAACAAAGCUCAAAGAAACAGAUUUGGCCUAUGAGUGAAGGAAGUAUCCAUGGCCAGUUGACCCAAUGGUGUCACAUUGCUGCACUGUGACACACAAGCGAUAUCUGCGAUGGAGUUCUCUCAUAGGUUAUGUUUAUUUCUUCAAUGACCUUCCUGGUAUCUAGCACACUGUUGGUGCCACCGUGUGUAUUUGUUCCAGUUAUCUGUAGCUUCGUAACGAAUUGUCUUAAGACUUAGUGGCUUAAGCAGCAACCAUUAAUUUUGCUCACAAAUCUUCAAUUUGGGCAGGGCUCAGAGGGCCGGCUCAUCUCCGCUCCAUGCCGUGGAAGCUGGGGCAGCCUGGUGGGCUGCAGGAUUCAACUCCAAGAUGGCACACUCCCUUGGCUAGCAAGCUGGUGCUGGCUGUAGGCUGGUAGCUCAGCUGGGGCUUUCAUCUGAGGGCCUUGCUUCCUUUCCACAUGGCUUUGCUUUCCUCUCCAUGGGGCUGCUUGGGCUUGCUCAUAGCAUGGUGGCUCAGUGGGGCUCCAAGUAUUUCAGGAACAAGGGAUAAAGCUGCCAGGCUCUUAAGAUCCGGGCCUGGAAACUGGCACAGCAUCACUUCCGUCAAAUUCUAUUGUUCAA